rnacentral:rRNA from 1 species
AACGGAAAGGCCCUGCUUGCAGGGUACUCGAGUGGCGAACGGGUGAGUAACACGUGGGUGAUCUGCCCUGCACUUCGGGAUAAGCCUGGGAAACUGGGUCUAAUACCGGAUAGGAGCCAUUUUUAGUGUGAUGGUUGGAAAGUUUUUUCGGUGUAGGAUGAGCUCGCGGCCUAUCAGCUUGUUGGUGGGGUAAUGGCCUACCAAGGCGGCGACGGGUAGCCGGCCUGAGAGGGUGGACGGCCACAUUGGGACUGAGAUACGGCCCAGACUCCUACGGGAGGCAGCAGUGGGGAAUAUUGCACAAUGGGCGCAAGCCUGAUGCAGCGACGCCGCGUGGGGGAUGACGGCCUUCGGGUUGUAAACUCCUUUCGCUAGGGACGAAGCUUUUUGUGACGGUACCUAGAUAAGAAGCACCGGCUAACUACGUGCCAGCAGCCGCGGUAAUACGUAGGGUGCGAGCGUUGUCCGGAAUUACUGGGCGUAAAGGGCUCGUAGGUGGUUUGUCGCGUCGUCUGUGAAAUUCCGGGGCUUAACUCCGGGCGUGCAGGCGAUACGGGCAUAACUUGAGUACUGUAGGGGUAACUGGAAUUCCUGGUGUAGCGGUGAAAUGCGCAGAUAUCAGGAGGAACACCGAUGGCGAAGGCAGGUUACUGGGCAGUUACUGACGCUGAGGAGCGAAAGCAUGGGUAGCGAACAGGAUUAGAUACCCUGGUAGUCCAUGCCGUAAACGGUGGGCGCUAGGUGUGAGGGUCUUUUCACGACUUUCGUGCCGUAGCUAACGCAUUAAGCGCCCCGCCUGGGGAG